rnacentral:rRNA from 1 species
UGGGGGAUAUUGCACAAUGGGCGAAAGCCUGAUGCAGCGACGCCGCGUGGGGGAUGAAGGCUUUCGGGUUGUAAACCUCUUUCGCUAUCGAACAAGGCCCGCUUAGGGUGGGUUGAGGGUAGGUGGAGAAGAAGCGCCGGCUAACUACGUGCCAGCAGCCGCGGUAAUACGUAGGGCGCGAGCGUUGUCCGGAAUUAUUGGGCGUAAAGGGCUUGUAGGCGGCUUGUUGCGCCUGCUGUGAAAACGCGGGGCUUAACUUCGCGCGUGCAGUGGGUACUGGCAGGCUUGAGUGUGGUAGGGGUGACUGGAAUUCCAGGUGUAGCGGUGGAAUGCGCAGAUAUCUGGAGGAACACCGAUGGCGAAGGCAGGUCACUGGGCCAUUACUGACGCUGAGGAGCGAAAGCAUGGGUAGCGAGCAGG